AUGGAGGCGUACCAGAAAGUGCAGGAGUUCGACUUGUCCAGCGGCGCUGAUUGGAAGACGACCGCCAACGUCCUCUUCACGGUGCCCCCAAGCACAAGGAGUUCGGGAACCGGGCUUGGUGGCCAAUGGGGCCAGGAAGGUCCCAGAUCGGAGGUCCCUGCUUGCCAACUCGCAGUUAGUUUGCAUGAUACAAUAAAUCUGCUUGCAAGGCUCUCGAUGAUAUAUCCAUUUCAUCAAUUGCUCAAGGGUGUGAGGAUGGCGAAGGAGGUGCAGGGAGCUGACGGCAUAUCCGGCGGUGAGGGCGCCGACCAGGAAGGCGAUGCCAUUGCCGGGCGUCGAGGUCGUAGUCCCGGAAGCCGACGAUGCUUCCGUGCGGCGAGGGGAUAA
rnacentral:rRNA from 1 species